CGUGCCACGUGAUGGAUAUCGUGGUGUAAGCGUGUGGCCCGUGUUCUAGGUAAAUCCGGAGCACAUGUGGGUGAGGCGUGAUGCGUACCCGUUUUGGGGAAGUUGGUGAUCCUAUGCUGCCGAGAAAAGCCUCUAGCGAUGUGGAUAUACGGCCCGUACCCGAAACCGACACAGGUAGUCAGGUAGAGAAUACUAAGGCGAUCGGGAGAACUGUGGUUAAGGAACUCGGCAAAAUGCCCCCGUAACUUCGGGAGAAGGGGGGCCAUGACUGGUGACCGACGUGGUUGAGCUGGUUGUGGCCGCAGAGAAUAGAGGGAAGCGACUGUUUACUAAAAACACAGGUCCGUGCGAAGACGGGUAAGUCGAUGUAUACGGACUGACGCCUGCCCGGUGCUGGAAGGUUAAGAGGACCUGUUAGACCCCUUUUGCGGGUCGAAGCGGAGAAUUUAAGCCCCAGUAAACGGCGGUGGUAACUAUAACCAUCCUAAGGUAGCGAAAUUCCUUGUCGGGUAAGUUCCGACCUGCACGAAUGGCGUAACGACUUCCCUGCUGUCUCAACCACAGACCCGGCGAAAUUGCAGUACGAGUAAAGAUGCUCGUUACGCGCGGCAGGACGAAAAGACCCCGGGACCUUCACUAUAGCUUGGUAUUGGUGUUCGGUUCGGUUUGUGUAGGAUAGGUGGGAGACUGUGAUACCUCAACGCCAGUUGGGGUGGAGUCGUUGUUGAAAUACCACUCUGAUCGUAUUGGACAUCUCAACCUCGGCCCGUGAUCCGGGUUAGGGACAGUGCCUGGUGGGUAGUUUAACUGGGGCGGUUGCCUCCCAAAGAGUAACGGAGGCGCCCAAAGGUUCCCUCAGCCUGGUUGGCAAUCAGGUGUUGAGUGUAAGUGCACAAGGGAGCUUGACUGUGAGACUGACAGGUCGAGCAGGUAGGAAACUAGGGACUAGUGAUCCGGCACCGGCUUGUGGAAGCGGUGUCGCUCAACGGAUAAAAGGUACCCCGGGGAUAACAGGCUGAUCUUCCCCAAGAGUCCAUAUCGACGGGAUGGUUUGGCACCUCGAUGUCGGCUCG
rnacentral:rRNA from 1 species